rnacentral:misc_RNA from 1 species
GAUGAAGAACGUAGCGAAAUGCGAUAAGUAAUGUGAAUUGCAGAAUUCCGUGAAUCAUCGAAUCUUUGAACGCACAUUGCGCCCCCUGGUAUUCCGGGGGGCAUGCCUGUCCGAGCGUCAUUGCAACCCUCAAGCGCGGCUUGUGUGUUGGGCUUCGUCCCCCCGUGGACGUGCCCGAAAGGCAGUGGCGGCGUCCCGAAUGGUGCCCGAGCGUAUGGGAACUCUCUUCCGCUCGAACCGGCCCAUUCGGCGCUGGUCGAACCCCAAUUUUUUUUUACCGGUUGACCUCGGAUCAGGUAGGGAUACCCGCUGAACUUAAGCAUAUCAAUAAGCGGAGGA